rnacentral:rRNA from 1 species
UACGGAGGGUGCUAGCGUUGUUCGGAAUCAUUGGGCGUAAAGGGCGCGUAGGCGGUCUGUCAAGUCAGGUGUGAAAUACCUCGGCUCAACUGGGGAACUGCGCUUGAAACUGGCAGACUUGAGUACGGGAGAGGGUAGCGGAAUUCCGAGUGUAGAGGUGAAAUUCGUAGAUAUUCGGAGGAACACCGGUGGCGAAGGCGGCUACCUGGACCGAUACUGACGCUGAGGCGCGAAAGCGUGGGGAG